rnacentral:rRNA from 1 species
AAGGCCUUCGGGUUGUAAAGCUCUUUUAGGGGGGACGAGGAAGGACGGUACCUCAGGAAUAAGUCACGGUAAAAACGUGCCAGCAGCCGCGGUAAUACGUAGGUGGCGAGCGUUAUCCGGAUUUACUGGGCGUAAAGCGCGUGUCUUGUGGUUUCGUAAGUCGGAGGUGAAAGCUCCUGGCUCAACUGGGAGAGGCCGUUCGAUACUGCGGGACUUGAGGUCGGGAGAGGGACGUGGAAUUCCCGGUGUAGUGGUGGAAUGCGUAGAUAUCGGGAGGAACACCAGUGGCGAAGGCGACGUCCUGGCCCGCACCUGACGCUAAGACGCGAAAGCGUGGGUAGCGAACGGGAUUAGAUACCCCGGUAGUCCACGCUGUAAACGGUGGAUACUAGGUGUUGGUGGCUAUCGUCAUCAGUGCCGUAGCUAACGCGUUAAGUAUCCCGCCUGGGGACUACGGCCGCAAGGCUAAAACUCAAAUGAAUUGACGGGGA